AGAAUGAACGCUAGCGGCGUGCUUAACACAUGCAAGUCGUACGAGAACUCUUUAGCUUGCUAAAGACAGUAAAGUGGCGCACGGGUGAGUAACGCGUGGGUAAUCUACCUCUGAAUUUGGGAUAACUCCGCGAAAGCGGGGCUAAUACAGGAUAAUAUUUCAGAAUCUUCGGGUUUUGAAAUCAAAAGUGGCCUCUACAUGUAAGCUACUGUUUGGAGAUGAGCCUGCGUACCAUUAGCUUGUUGGUAGGGUAAUGGCCUACCAAAGCUACGAUGGUUAGCUGGUCUGAGAGGAUGAUCAGCCACACUGGAACUGACACACGGUCCAGACUCCUACGGGAGGCAGCAGUGGGGAAUUUUGCGCAAUGGGGGAAACCCUGACGCAGCAACGCCGCGUGAGUGAUGAAGGCUUUCGAGUCGUAAAGCUCUGUCAAGUGGGAAGAACAUGAAAAAUGUUAAUAUCAUUUUUUACUGACGGUACCACUAAAGGAAGCACCGGCUAACUCCGUGCCAGCAGCCGCGGUAAUACGGGGGGUGCAAGCGUUAUUCGGAAUUAUUGGGCGUAAAGGGCGCGUAGGCGGUCUUUUAAGUCAGAUGUGAAAGCCCGGGGCUUAACCCCGGAAGUGCAUUUGAAACUGAAGGACUUGAGUAUGGGAGAGGGAAGUGGAAUUCCUGGUGUAGAGGUGAAAUUCGUAGAUAUCAGGAGGAACACCGGUGGCGAAGGCGACUUCCUGGACCAAUACUGACGCUGANGCGCGAAGGCGUGGGGAGCAAACAGGAUUAGAUACCCUGGUAGUCCACGCAGUAAACGAUGAACACUAGGUGUAGCGGGUAUUGACCCCUGCUGUGCCGCAGUUAACGCAUUAAGUGUUCCGCCUGGGGAGUACGACCGCAAGGUUAAAACUCNAGGAAUUGACGGGGGCCCGCACAAGCGGUGGANCAUGUGGUUUANU
rnacentral:rRNA from 1 species